CUACGGAGGGGACUAGCGUUGUUCGGAAUUACUGGGCGUAAAGGGCGCGCAGGCGGUUUGGUAAGUCAGAUGUGAAAGCCCAUGGCUCAACCAUGGAAGUGCAUUUGAAACUGUCAGACUUGAGUACUAGAGGGGAAAGUGGAAUUCCCGGUGUAGAGGUGAAAUUCGUAGAUAUCGGGAGGAAUACCGGUGGCGAAGGCGACUUUCUGGCUAGAUACUGACGCUGAGGCGCGAAAGCGUGGGGAGCAAACAGGAUUAGAUACCCUAGUAGUCC
rnacentral:rRNA from 1 species